UAGAAAUAUCACUGUAAGGUUUCAACAAUAAAUAUUGCAGGAGAGGAAUAUUGGCCUGGCUUUACUAUUAGUCAAUCCACACACCUCUCCCGUAGAAAAAGGAGCUAAAAUUUUUACAAGAACCUUUAAAAGAAAGGCGAAAGAUACCAGAGGGACAUUCAAACUCGUACAUCGAAAAUAAACCGACAACGCCAUUGCUAAAAAAGACAAACAAUAGAACACAAAAUAGAAAACUAAAGACUAAGCAAAACGAACCCGACCAAAACCUGGGGGUGAUCUCAUGUGCCCCGGAAGGGUAGACAUAUAUUCUCCUCAUGGAGGACCCGACGUACAAUCAGCAGC
rnacentral:lncRNA from 1 species